ACGAACGCUGGCGGCAUGCCUCACACAUGCCAGUCGAACGAGACCUUCGGGUCUAGUGGCGCACGGGUGCGUAACGCGUGGGAACCUGCCUUUAGGUUCGGAAUAACUCAGAGAAAUUUGAGCUAAUACCGGAUGAUGUCUUCGGACCAAAGAUUUAUCGCCUUUAGAUGGGCCCGCGUUGGAUUAGCUAGUUGGUGGGGUAAAGGCCUACCAAGGCGACGAUCCAUAGCUGGUCUGAGAGGAUGAUCAGCCACACUGGGACUGAGACACGGCCCAGACUCCUACGGGAGGCAGCAGUGGGGAAUAUUGGACAAUGGGCGAAAGCCUGAUCCAGCAAUGCCGCGUGAGUGAUGAAGGCCUUAGGGUUGUAAAGCUCUUUUACCCGAGAUGAUAAUGACAGUAUCGGGAGAAUAAGCUCCGGCUAACUCCGUG
rnacentral:rRNA from 1 species